UCACACCCUCGGCCGGAGGCGCCCUCACGCCGAGCGCUGCGACGGGCGCGCGCGAGCUGCCGCCGGCCCGGGACCCUGCGGCGUGUGCCCGGAACCGGGCCCGGGUGGGGCCUCCCGCGGCUCGGCAGGCUUUAUUGGGUCACCGGCCUCGCCCACCGCCUCGUCGGCCGCGGCCCUUCUUCGCGGGCUCGCCGUUCGCCGCCCCGCGCCCCCUUCCCAGGGCUUGCACGUACGUCGUCGGCGAUCCGAGGCCCGGCGGAGGCCGAGGGUCCCACCCUCCGGGUGGAGGAAGCGCCGCCUCCCCGCGCGCCGGGGGCCCUCGCGAAGUGGCUGGUAACAAAGCCCAGGGCUCGGCUGUACCGCGGUUGAGUGACAAAGUCAUCCUAGUACAGCCCACUUUCCCACCCGGCGCGUGUCUGGCUUCUGGAAGAGGACAGGGAAUUCUGAAUCAUCAGCUUGUCCCUUUCUGUAUUGUGGUCUUCACCAAGGACACUAUCGACUGAUCCUUGAACUAUGCAGGUUUGAACUAAUGCCCUUUUGUGAAUUCAGCGGACACCAAUUCUCAAAUGACAGCUGGAAAUUCACAAACUAUUAAGAGAAACCAGCCUCAGUUGAUUCAGUCCAUGAGAGUUCUGCCCUGCUUGCGAAUAUUUGUCUUGUUGACCACCUACUGUUUUUAGCAGUUCUGCGUAGAAAGGAGGAGGGGAGAGGAUUUGGCUCUUGGCACUAAGCUGGUGAUUUUGCAAGGACACAAAACCUACAAGAGUAUCUACUAUACUUCAGCCACUGCUUAUACAAAGACAACGAAAACUGGGCAAUCUACCCAGAAGUCAGGUUUAUUAUAAUGCUCAGCGAUGGUGGGAAAACAGAGAUUAUGUACCAAUUGCUAGCCUGGGGUACCAAAAGACGAAGGAACUCUGCUUUUGGUAGCUAGGCCUCAGUAAACUUCAUCUCACUAUUGUUUGGGAAGGCAGCAAAGGAGACGUCUCUGUGUAAUUCUGUCCAUUUUCUUCAAGAACUAUGCAUUUGUUAUCCUACCUGCUUUACAUGUUACUACAGACCCUUUUAGGUAGUGUGGUUUUAGACAUUUCAGUGAGGAUUUCCUUAUUCACAGUUCAGCAUAAGUACAUAUGUUUUACAUUUGAUUUUCUUUCUCUACUUCUGUCAUAAAGAUAA